rnacentral:misc_RNA from 1 species
GCACAACUUCCAUCUGCGCGCCACUCGACGUUCAGUGCUGUUGUUAUGUCGCUCACUGCCCUCACUGCCAAGCGUGUUCGGCGCACAUGGGAGCCGGAGGAGAAGGCGUGGCACGAUGAUGCGUUGGAGCUGCCAUGGGAGGAUAUUCGACCGGAGCUGCACAAGGCAUCCAUCUUCGCCUUGAAGAAUGUCUUCUUCUUUUCGCACGCCACCCCCGUGCAAGCGCUCGCGCUGCGCGUCCUCACGCAAGCAGGUACAAGCGCUGUCGUCGAGGCACCAACGGGAAGUGGUAAGACCCUCGCGUUUCUUCUCCCCAUCAUGGAGCGGUGCGUGCGAUCUUGCGAAGCGUAUGUGGCGUCGCAUCAGCGACCACCCCUGUUUCGUCACGUGCUCGGCGUCAUCUUCUCGCCGUCGCGCACGCUGGCUGAGCAGACAUUCGUGGUCGGCCGCAGCCUCGCGGCUCGCUACCCCUUCAACAUCCAGUUCGUCCUCUGCGACGGCGUUGUCCAGAAGCCUGCGACAGUACUGCAGCACCUCCAGCGUGGGGCCCGUGGUGCGGGCACGAUCCUCGUCACGACUCCAAAGGACUUUGACGAGCUGCUUCCGAUGCUCGAGGAGGCUCAAAAGACGCCACUCGACCCUUCCAGUGAUGAUAUCACGGAUUUCCUGGCACAGCAAGAUGAGGCAACGCGGCAGCGUUACCUUGCUCGCAGAGCGCAAGCAAACACCGAUGCGGAGAAGGGCAGUAUCUCUCGUGAUAGUGUACGCUUCUACUCCACAUCGGAGGCACGGUUCGUUGUUGUCCUUGACGAGGCAGACCUGCUCUACAACUCCACCGACAUGCGCAACACAGUGCAGCAGUUUGUGGCUGCCUAUGGGCGUACCCGUGACCCUGUGAGCCCGUCUCCGCGCCGCCGCAAGUCAGCCGCGAAGAAGCGGCCUGUGCCCGAGAAAGAGCCCGGGACGGCCGGCGCACGGCUGUGGAUGGACUUUGCGUUUGUCGGGGCUACUGUCGCCACCUCGCCUUCGCUCAAGGUGUAUGCCAGGAAGGUGUGCGCGGAGUGUGAUAGCACCUUGCACACGCUGGCGCUGCGGUCCAACGACGACUUUGUCUCACAGCUGAGCAACCGCUUCGUCGUGUGCGACGCCGCGAACUUUCUGCCGUAUUUCGUCCAGCUCAUGAACCUGCACGCGUCGAAGAAGCACUUUGUCUUCUUCAACAACUUUCGUGUUCUUCUGUUUGUGCAGCGGCUUUUCUCUGUUCUGUGCCAGGGCGCACGCCCACUCCUGUACAUACCGAAGGUGUUUGCGAUGUACGAGGGCAUGACGGAAAGUGCCCGCAUCGAUCAGUACAACCAGUUCCUCACCCACGUGAGUCGCAGCAACGAGACCCGCAAGCCGAAGAAAGCCCUCUCAGACGCAGAGAAGAAGAACCAGGUCUUCACGAGCGGCUGGAAGCGCGACGGCACCGUGAGCAUGGGCACGGGCGCCAUUCUCCUCUGCACCGAUGUCGCCGCCUUUGGGCUCGAUGUGCGCGAUGUCGACUAUGUGUACCACUUUGAGCCACCGGCUACUGUGCAGUCGUACAUCCACCGCGUUGGGCGUGUAGGCCGCAUGGGCAUGAAGGGAAGCAGCAUUCUGCUCCUUCCCUGCAACGCCAACUCGACGCCGAUGCAGUCCACGCACGAGCGCAAGAUGGACAGCACACGCUUCCACACCGUCACCAACACCAAAAAACCUACGGCACAGCUCCAAACGCCUUGCAUCAGCGCUGACUCGCUCCCAGAAGAGCGUCGUGCCUACGUGGCGGAGCUUGGCAAGCACAGCGCGCUGGAAGAGUACACCAUCCCGCCCUUCGCCCCCAUUACCUCCACCCUCCGGAAUCACAUCCAGCAGGACGGCAAGCUACUAAAGCUUGCAAAGCGCGCCGCAAUAUCCAUGUGCGCGGCGCCGGAGGGCGAGGAGGAGAAGGCGUGGUUCCACCCACGUCUCGCGGUGCGUGCACUUCUUUUGGAUUAGCUCCCCAAGGCCAGCACUUCGGGUGUCUGCGACCCCUCGGUGCGGGCAUACCAGUUUUAACGGCGGCCGUCCUGAUCUCUCUUUUCGUAUAACGCCGCUAUGAAGGGGCCAAACACCGUCCACACUCGAGAGGCGAACGCCAACGAAGGGCAUGCGAGCCACCAAGACAUGAGAGGGGCUCUUCUUCCUCCCGACACUCGUAUCUUCGUUUCAAGGAUUCCCGCAUCUGCCGCCAGUCUCGUCUCGGACGAAACGUGGGCAAAAAGAAGAAGGCGAUGCCUUGCUGCGCGGACCUUGAGGCGCUGCCCUCAGAUGAUGAGCCACUGACGUGGAGGCCACGCCGCACUCGUGUCUCAUCUCCCUCCGCUCACUUUACCCCGCCUCUGCGUUUCCCCUUUUCACGUUCUUUCGAUCGCGUCCUUUGCGUUCCCUUGCACCCAAUCCUGUUGUGUGCAG